AAAGGCUUAUGUGAUUUGCCCCACCAGGAAAAUCCAGGAUAAUCUCUCUCAUUUAAGAUGCUACACUGUAAUGGACCCAUCAAGUGCCAAGACUGGCAGAACUGACAUCAAUCCUCUGCAGAGCCCCCCUUGGAAAAGCUGGGGAACCAGAGAUGCAAAGCAAUGCUAACCCUCCUCUGGGAGAAACUAGGAGCCACAAGGUCUCCUUCUGAUCCUGUGGCCUUUACCUCAAUUUCUCAAAGGGAUUUUGUCUGCUUAAUUAGUGUCUGUGGGUAUAAGGAUGGCCUGGGGGCUAACUACUUUGUCAUUCUGUUGAUGUUACUGGAUCUAAUUAGUUGUUAUGUAUUUCAAUGCCAACAACUUUGAAUUGGGAUCCAUGUUUAUGAACAUAAACCUGAGACCUUUUUUGUUUUGUCUUGUUUUCUCAUCAAGGAGGAGGAGGUAGCUUCUACAUAGCAAAGGAAACAAUCAGCGAAACAAUCAGCAAAACUAAAAG